rnacentral:rRNA from 1 species
UUUAAAUGUAAAUAUAACUUCAUUUAAGUAGUAUUAGUUAUGAUCUUGAAAUUUAAAGAUUUUGGCGGUAUUUUAGACUAUUCAGAGGAACCUGUUCUAUAAUUGAUAGUCCACGAUAAAUUAUACUUAAUUUAUUGAUUUGUAUAUCGUCGUUAUUAAAUAUUUUAAAAGAAUUUAAAUGUUUAAUUUUUUAUAUUAAAAAAUAUAUCAGAUCAAGGUGCAGUUUAUAGUUAAGAAGAAAUGGGUUACAAUAAAUUUAUUUAAACGGAUUAAGUUAUAAAAAUUUUUAAGAAGGAGGAUUUGAUAGUAAUAUAAUUUAUAUUAAUUUUAUGAUUUUAGCUCUAAAAUGUGU